CGACAUGCAAGCAGGACUCUCCUCUAGCCCCCAAUCGCAAUCCCUUACAUAACCCCUCAACCAUGCCCCAUCAGCCCAGUCCACGUAAUCUCAGUUCAUUGGCCUUCGUCAAAUGCCCUGAUCUUAGGUCAUGGUGCGCCUGCGCAGCUCUCACGAUGGACAUGGCUUAUUUCCGGGUGUAUGAGGAAGUCAGGCUGCAGUCCCGGGCACCAUCUUGGGACAACCGCCACACCCGCUCCCCACAGGAUGUUAUGUAAAAUGCUAGCCUCUGGUCCCUCUGGUCUUGCUAACAGCACUUAAAGCUUACAGACAGACACCUGCUCACCUCAGAAGUACAUGUGAUAGAUUUGAUAGGAGUAAACAACAGUGCUCCAGGUCUGAGCCUUGUCUGAAAACCUGGAAAUAAUCGUGACAUUUGAGGAAGCUUAAAGAUCGCCAUUGAUCUUUGUUAAGGAAGAAAGCUUUAAGCAUCCAUCCUUCCUGCUGAGCCGCAAGGAUCUGGUGGCAGUUAAGUGAUUGCUACAGUUGGCCCCCCUGGCCACCCUUCCCCUGCAAAGCGCCAGCUGAGGUUGAAGGAGAUUCAUCAUUUGCUACUUCCUCAGCCUACAUCAAGCCCUAUUCAGGCCCUUUUCUGCCUAAUGAGGCCCGCAGAGCCACCAGCUGCUGCUGCUUAUCCUUGAAUCAACCAAAGUAGCAGCAGGUAGCACCCAUCUGCCACAAAUUUGGGGUUGCUAAGAAAUCAAAGAAUAGAUUCUAAUAUGCAGCGGCUCAUCUCUCA
rnacentral:lncRNA from 1 species